rnacentral:lncRNA from 1 species
AGACUUGAAGAAUGCAAACAAUUAUAAUGACCUUACUCAGCCAUUAAGAAAUGAAGUAUUUUGAAAGUUGUGUCUCCAGUCCAUUGAGAUUGGCAACUGACAAUUCUUGUCAUUCUAAGGAAAUUUGAUGAUUUAAUGACAGUGUGACAUCCUCAUGAGAAGUAAAAAUGACCUGUGUGUCCUAUGGUUUAAGAGCAAAUUUUGAAACUUGGAGUUGUGGUUUUUCAGUUUGUGUACACUCACCCCAAAUUGUAGUCUAUUGAGUCAUGUGCAUUGCACGUUGGAUAAGCCAGGGAAAUGACAAAUAAGUAUUUUGUGUGUAUUUAGUGGUUGCUUUGUACUGAGAGAAAAGCUUUGAGGUGUGAUUAAAUCGUAAACUCUGAUUCUAUUUGGG